UCCUUUCUUUUGCAUUAGUUUUGAUUUUUAAAGAAACUGUGUUAGAAUUUACCUUGAUUACAGAGUUUUUGGGCUUCCUCUUGCAUUCAGUGCCCAACUCACUUCACCUCAAUAUUGGCCCUGUGUGUCUCAACACCUUACCCUGUAGGGUACCUACUUCUCUGCAAGUCUCUCUUCUAAAGCAAAUGAAAGUAGAGACCACAUCAACUCAUCCCAGGCUAGUUACAGCAUCUUGCAGAGUAGAUGUUCAACAAAUUAGUGCUGGAUAGGAGGGCGCACAAAAGGUCUGCUCCAAGUCCUCAAACACGGGCCUUCACACCCUGUCCCCACGCCGGCAGCGGCCACCUGCUUGGUCCUUUGGGAGGACCCUGGGGACCACGGCGAGAACUGGAGGACCAAGCAACUGAGCCAGACCUCCCAAGCGGAAUCGGAAGUCUCCGCGUUUGACGUCACGGAGACCCCGGUUACCGGAAGUCAGUGGCGCAAACUCCGCAGGGUGUGAGGGGUCCACAGGCCUCGCAUGAGGUCAUUCAGGAAGCACCCUCCGAAUGGCUGCCGUUAAGCUAGGGUAGCAAGGCCGCAGGACGGGCCGCCUUUUCCCCGCCCACCUGGGUCUGCGCACACUUCCGCUUAAAUGACCCUCUUAGGGGCCGCCUCCGCGACUUCCCGGUAUGCCCCGCGCCUGCUUCCUGGCAACGGCGCCCAGCAGCCGCGCCCGACUUCCUGGUACGGCCCGCGCUGUCUCCUUGGCAACGGCCCCCGCAGUCUGGGUCUCUAGCUCGCCCGGCUUGGCAAUCGAGUUGUGAGGCGGCGCCUCCGGACUCCGGGUUACUGGAGGGACCCUGGGAGUGCGCGACGCACCCUCGCCCUCCACCCGGAAAGCUUCAUUUGGCCAGAAAGCAUCACUUUUAUGGGAUCAGAAGCAAACAAAGAUACAUUGAGAGUCCUGUUCUCCAGUUGUUUUUUCAUCAGAUUUCACUGAUAUUUUCUGUGAUCUUGAUAAUCCCACGUUAUAUCGGGAUUUCCAGGUAUGGGCCCCAGCUCUGAAGUUCCAGUCCAUUGUGUUUUAGUACUGUCGUGAUCACCU
rnacentral:lncRNA from 1 species